CAGUCGCCGCGGGUAAACAGAGGGUGCGAGCGUUAAUCGGAUUUACUGGGCGUAAAGCGUGCGUAGGCGGCUAAUUGAGUCGGAUGUGAAAUCCACGAGCUUAACUUGGGAAUUGCAUUCGAUACUGGUUAGCUAGAGUGUGGGAGAGGAUGGUAGAAUUCCAGGUGUAGCGGUGAAAUGCGUAGAGAUCUGGAGGAAUACCGAUGGCGAAGGCAGCCAUCUGGCCUAACACUGACGCUGAGGUACGAAAGCAUGGGGAGCAAACAGGAUUAGAUACCCCAGUAGUCCCUGUCUCUUAUAC
rnacentral:rRNA from 1 species